rnacentral:lncRNA from 1 species
UUUAUUCAGUCCCCAGUAAAGCAGAUAAAUGGCAUGCCAGAUGGAAUUUGUGUGAUAAAAUUCCUGAAGGUUCUGUAUCUCAUGAUAGGUUUCCCUUCAAGAUUUUACAACCACUCCUUACACUCCAUAGUACUUUAUUGUUUACCGAGGAAGCUGCCAGCCUCCCUCCCACUGUACAUUUCCUUUCUUACUCACAGAACCUUAAUUUUGUUCAGGGAGGCAAUAUGCUUAUCUAAAAAUAUUGCCCAAUCUUCUUUGUAGUUAGAAAUGAUCACAUGAGAAAGAAAAUCUAAGUGGAAGUCUGCUGGGGACAUCUGCCUUUUCCAAAUAUCACAUUUUGUCCUUCUUUCCUUUCUCUCUCCCUUCCCUUUCUUUCCUCCUCCUCUCUCUACCGUCCUUUCUCCUUCUUCGUGUGUCUGAAUGGUCCAAAAAAUUGGGUAUGGAAGUUUUCAGAAAGAUGGAGGAACCAGGGCUAAUGAUAUCCUGAGGUCAUCACACCAGCCAUGAAACACAGGUUUUCAGAAUAAAGGUCAUGAGGGGAAACACACAGCUACUUACUGUUGCUACCAGCUUCCUGUUAGAGUCAGAAACAAUCUUAAUGAACUCACCUGUUACUUUCACUAAUGAUAUUUUAUUUGAUCAUUUGCGACUUGCAUUCAUGAGGUGGAAGUGUUGCUAUGAGUCUUCUUUUAGGGAUAUGGGGAUUCUAAGGGGCUAUUCUAGCUCAGAAUGCAGAGUACUUCAGUUUGGAUUUCCAAAGAGGUUCUCUUUCUACUAGCCAGCGGUUCUCAAGUGGUUGUGGGACUGCACCUGAAGUCAAUCUGGUUGAGGGAGCAGACUAUGGAAGGGGAACCUCUGACAUUUUCCCCACCCUGUGAUUAUAAAAUCCUCCUGGGUUUUAAUUGGGCUAGGAAGGCAGUGCCAAAUCUUUGUCCUGUUCCUGACAGUCUUUUGUAAUGGAAGUUUGUUCUGGUCUAAUGCUUUUCUUGAGAAAUACUGAGAUAAAUUAAGCCAAAUAAAACUGCACACGUAUUGACUCAGAACCAG